AAACUAGAUAUACUGCAAGAGAAAGGGCAAUCUUCUAAUCAAUUUUCCAACAUCCGAGAAAUCGAUAUUCUAUUCCCGAUAUGUACAUUCGCUGACUUAAUAUCUUUUGAAGAGCAAUUAAAUGAAGGAAAAUUUCAAGAUGAUGUGCUAAAUUUUUUAAAACUCAUUGGUGGAAAUACUGCAAAUAUCAUGAUAAGAAAUAUCUUAACAAAAGUAAUAACCGAUAAGGUAGCCGAACAUUUCAGCUGGACAGGUAAAAAAAAUAAAAAAGCUUCAAAGAUUUAAGACUUUCAAAAAUGAUUGUACAAGCUAUUCAUUUGUCGCAUGAAAACAUAACAGAUAGUGACAUUGUCGAAUACACAUCAAAGUGGCUUGCCCAAGCAACUGUGAGAAUCAAAAGAAAAGGAACAGAAGAAAAUUUAGAAAAACGUAAAGAUAAAACGUAAAAGAACUUUCUGAACAUAAUUUACAUUCUUUAUAACAUAUUGUUUUUUUUCUUAAAAAUGCGCAUAAUAUAUAUAUUAUGUGAUAUUACUAAUAAAAAA